GCUACCUGGGCUAUUUUGAAGAAGAUCAUGGAGUGGCUAAGCUUGGAUGUGGCUAUCUUUAUUUGAUGCCUUGCUCUUCAAGUUGAUAUAUUUGUGCAUUAUGUGUUGUUUGACUCUAAUGUCCAAGGGAAUUUGGGUUUCUAUUGACAUUAUUCAUCUCUUCCCCAUUUCUUUAAUUUCAAAAUCUCUUCCCCUUUUAAAAAAACUUAUUUGUUU
rnacentral:lncRNA from 1 species